GAGAAUAAUCCUUUAUCAGCCAGACUGAAUGACCUCUGAAAGGUCUUUUUCAUCUCUUCAUCCUGCUCUUUUGUCCCAGGAAAUGCGGCUCCAGCCCAAACUCCUUGAUCAGUCGAGCAGUUCAUGCAGCGCUCCCCUCCCCAAAGGAGGAAAGGUGACAUUACAGCUCCCAGACUGGCAGAAUUAACACCAUCUACAUUUCAUCCCGUGAACCUUCCUCAGUGUGCUUCAUCUCCUGACAAAGAGACUCAGUAGUCAAAAUCCUGUUCCCUGACGGAACUCGAAAAGGAGGAAUGAAGUGACCUGUUGAAGACUGUGGUAACUGCUGGGCUGGUGAAUGGAGAUGAAUUUUGUCAACUCGUACUCUGCGCCUUCGAGUGUUUGAGCUCUUGGGCCCUGUGACUGUGCUGAAAGUUCAAAAGGAAAUAAACUGAGAGGUCUAAAGAAUUCUUUUACCUAAGGAGACUGAUCCAGGUGAAGACUGGACGGAAAUUCUACACAGAGACCGUGAAAUCCUUCUCUGACUGCUCAGAUCCCAGGAGGAAAUGCCAGUUACAUACCUAGCAGUGGAGCAGCACUACUGCAGUGUUCUUUUGGCACCCUGGAGACACGCCAGAGCUGUGAAAACACCUCCUGAUGGCA